GACCCCGCCCAAAUGCCAGCUGAUUCAGGCAGGCAGGAUAUUAAUGAGCACCUAGUACCUGCCAGGAGCUGUCAACCUCAGGGGGCAGGCAGCAAAAAAAGCAGAGAAGCAGAGCAAGACCCUCCCCACCUCCACCCACCGCACUCAGCGAGGCUGAGCAGAGAAGCAAAGCAAGCCCCUCAGCACACCAAGAAAAGACUUUUCACUUGGAAUCCUUCCGAUGCAGAUGUGUGAAGACUCUGGUAGCGACAUCUCGGGGACUGAGCAUCUUCUAUUGAUUGGAAAAACACACACAGCACCAGGACCGUUGCCCACCCGCGGAGCUGCUCACAGAGCCACAGCGAAUAAUGAGCAGCCAACUGCCAAGCACAGGCCUCUGAAUUUGAUCAAUAGACGCAGCCCAGCCUUGGGGACCCCUCUGGGUUCCACCAGCAGGCAGAAAAGACACAGGAACAAAGACCAAGCAUGACUUGGAGUCUAACCAUAGAGGACAGAUGGGGGUCCCUGGCAGGAGCCUGAGCUGCAGGAACCGUGGUCCUCAGCUGUGAGUCCCUGCCCUCCUUCCCCUGGAUGGGCCUCUCUGCUGCCCAGGACAGCUUGCCAGCUGCCUGCUCCAGAAGCCUCCUCACCCCAUUGUGAGUCCUUCAUUAGGCUGACUAGAGGAAUAUCACCGUGUGCAGGGAAAGGAGCAGCCAGAGCCCAGGUGUGAGAAGCCCAAGGCCAGAGCUCCUCAUCCACCACUGGUGUUGGCGGGAGAGGGGCCCUGAGGUUGGCCCAUCCCUGGGGAGGGAGAGGGGUCCUGAGGUUGGCCCAUCCCUGGGGAGGGAGAGGGGUCCUGAGGUUGGCCCAUCCCUGGGGAGGGAGAGGGGUCCUGAGGUUGGCCCAUCC